rnacentral:rRNA from 1 species
GGAUGAUCAGCCACACUGGAACUGAGACACGGUCCAGACUCCUACGGGAGGCAGCAGUGGGGAAUCUUGCGCAAUGGGCGAAAGCCUGACGCAGCGACGCCGCGUGAGUGAUGAAGGCCCUCGAGUUGUAAAGCUCUGUGGGCGGGGACGAAUAAGGGUUGGCUAACAUCCAACCUGAUGACGGUACCCGUUUAGCAAGCACCGGCUAACUCUGUGCCAGCAGCCGCGGUAAGACAGAGGGUGCAAACGUUGUUCGGAAUUACUGGGCGUAAAGCGCGUGUAGGCUGCUCCGCAAGUCGGAUGUGAAAGCCCUGGGCUCAACCUAGGAAGUGCAUUCGAUACUGCAGAGCUUGAGUCCUGGAGAGGAAGGCGGAAUUCUCGGUGUAGAGGUGAAAUUCGUAGAUAUCGAGAGGAACACCGGUGGCGAAGGCGGCCUUCUGGACAGUGACUGACGCUGAGACGCGAAAGCGUGGGGAGCAAACAGGAUUAGAUACCCUGGUAGUCCACGCCGUAAACGAUGGGUGCUAGGUGUCGCGGGCUUUGACCCCUGCGGUGCCGUAGCUAACGCAUUAAGCACCCCGCCUGGGGAGUACGGCCGCAAGGCUAAAACUCAAAGGAAUGA